rnacentral:misc_RNA from 1 species
AAUGUCGUAACUAGGUUUCCCGUAGGUGAACCUGCGGAAGGAUCAUUAAAUGAGAAAUUGAAGUUUCGGCUUCUGGGGCUUCGGCCUCAAGCUCUAUACCCUAUGUUUACAAUUACCUCUGUUGCUUUGGCGAAUCUUGAAUACUCUUCACGCCGUCGUUUGUCGGCGAGUGUUCGCCAAAUGACUUUUGAAAAUUUAUUUUUAUGCGUCUGAGUAAAAAACCAUACAAUAAAUUUAAAAG